ACGGCUCAGUAACACGUCGAUAAUCUAACUUAUAGUUCAUAAUAUCCUCGGGAAACUGAGAGUAAUAAUGGAUAAAGGAUUACAACUGCAAUGUGUUUUCCUUGAAAGCUUCGGCGCUAUAAGAUGAGUCGGCGGCUGAUUAGUUUGUUGGUGAGGUAAUGGCUCACCAAGACUACGAUAAGUAGGGGGAGUGAGAGCUCUAGCCUCGAGAAGGGCACUGAGAUACUGGCCCUAGUCCCAAGGGAUGCAGCAGUCGCGAAAACUUUACAAUGCACGAAAGUGUGAUAAGGAGAUUCUAAGUGUCUAUCUAACGAUAGACUUUUACCAAUCGUAAGUAAAUUGGAGAAUAAGUGGUGGGAAAGACCGGUGCCAGCCGCCGCGGUAACACCGGCGCCACAAGCGGGGAUCAUAUUUAUUGGGUCUAAAAGGUCCGUAGCUCGUUUAAUAAGUCUCUUGUAAAAUUGUUACAGCUUAACUUAACGAAUCGGAAGAGAAACUAUUAAAAUUGGGACCGGGAGAAGAUAAGAGUAUUCUAAGGGGAGCGGUAAAAUGUUAUAAUCCUUGGAGGACUACCAAUGGCGAAGGCACUUAUCCAGAACGGGUCCGACAGUGAGGGACGAAGGCUAGGAGAACGAUAAGGAUUAGAUACCCUAGUAGCCCUAGCAGUAAACGCUGUGAGUUAGGUGUUGUAUAUUCUCAGAGAAUAUACAGUGCCGUGGGGAAGCCGUUAAACUCACUACCUGGGAAGUACGAUCGCAAGAUUGAAACUUAAAGGAAUUGGCGGGGGAGCACA
rnacentral:rRNA from 1 species